rnacentral:tRNA from 1 species
GAGCUGGUACUUUAAGAAAAAGGUUAGUUUUGCGUUCUAAUAUUGGUAUUUUUAUCUCAGUUUG